CGACGUCUGAUGGAGCACGCCGCGUGAGUGAAGAAGGUUUUCGGAUCGUAAAGCUCUGUUGUUGGUGAAGAAGGAUAGAGGUAGUAACUGGCCUUUAUUUGACGGUAAUCAACCAGAAAGUCACGGCUAACUACGUGCCAGCAGCCGCGGUAAUACGUAGGUGGCAAGCGUUGUCCGGAUUUAUUGGGCGUAAAGCGAGCGCAGGCGGAAGAAUAAGUCUGAUGUGAAAGCCCUCGGCUUAACCGAGGAACUGCAUCGGAAACUGUUUUUCUUGAGUGCAGAAGAGGAGAGUGGAACUCCAUGUGUAGCGGUGGAAUGCGUAGAUAUAUGGAAGAACACCAGUGGCGAAGGCGGCUCUCUGGUCUGCAACUGACGCUGAGGCUCGAAAGCAUGGGUAGCGAACAGGAUUAGAUACC
rnacentral:rRNA from 1 species